rnacentral:rRNA from 1 species
UACGGGGGGGGCAAGCGUUGUUCGGAAUUACUGGGCGUAAAGGGCUCGUAGGUGGCCACCUAAGUCAGACGUGAAAUCCCUCGGCUUAACCGGGGAACUGCGUCUGAUACUGGAUGGCUUGAGUUCGGGAGAGGGAUGCGGAAUUCCAGGUGUAGCGGUGAAAUGCGUAGAUAUCUGGAGGAACACCGGUGGCGAAGGCGGCAUCCUGGACCGACACUGACGCUGAGGCGCGAAAGUGUGGGGAUCAAACAGG